UCCCAUGGUGUGUUCAAAUGUGUCAUAUC
rnacentral:piRNA from 1 species